UACGGAGGGUGCGAGCGUUGUCCGGAAUAACUGGGCGUAAAGGGCGCGUAGGCGGCCUGAUAAGUAGGGGGUGAAAUCCUGCGGCUUAACCGCAGGGCUGCCUUCUAAACUGUCAGGCUAGAGCACAGUAGAGGCAGGUGGAAUUCCCGGUGUAGCGGUGGAAUGCGUAGAGAUCGGGAAGAACAUCAGUGGCGAAGGCGGCCUGCUGGGCUGUUGCUGACGCUGAGGCGCGACAGCGUGGGGAGCAAACAGG
rnacentral:rRNA from 1 species